GUUAUCUGAAAAUAGCGAUUUUUCAAAAAUCGAUUGGCUUUCUGUGGCUUGUGACGUGGUAUUUCGUACCCCGUCACAUGGUUCAAUUAUCGCACUUCCCUACGUACGGAAUAUCGCUAAAAAUAACGAAAGCACGUCUGAGGCCAAUACUCCAAAACUAACGACUAGUUAUCUUUAAGUGAAAUUCUCUUUAUUAAGCUAAUUCUAUUCUGUUUUCUAAUUUUGUGACGCUCUACGAGAACCAUCUACAAGACUUCCGCUUCAAGAUACCAUGACACUGCCUGACAGGGGUCACGUACCAGCUCAACACCGACCACCACCGACUACAGACGAACGAAUACCGCUGAAACCACUCCCGAUGGAUGCCUAUCUAAGUUGUGAACAGGGUCGUGCGUGAUGCACAAACAGUACCUCCAACUAUUUAAGACUUAUCGGCCAGGAGCCGAACCACGAAUCAAUGUUUCUACAGCUCGGAUGCAUCGCCAGACGGCGUACAGGGCUGUGCGUCAAAAACACAACAAAGCCUCCCGUCGACGAUACUUAUCAGCCUGGAGCUGAACCGACCACGACAUCUACUAAGUCGUUGUCUAUCAAAUAGAGGACGGUUUUCUCUUAUUGAACCGUUCUAUCGAAGGGCUGUGGCGUGGAAUAGGCUAGACUAUGCUGACCACGUGGAUCUGGUGGAUAUAGUGUGGGGAUCCGGGUCGAGGGCCAUCACCACCAGAUCGUUCCGGCAUGAGGGCUCCGAUGAGAGAGGGCCGGGAUACAGCGCCAACGAAAUAGCUACAACGGGGAAUACCAGUAAAGCAAGGAGUGAAGUACAAUCGGUCGCAAGUCCAAGAGAUCGGUGACGCAAUAUUAUCGCACACCUCAAUAUCGCAACACAUGAGCGGUACGACCUUCCCUCUCACCAACGAUACAGCACAGCUGAGGGAAAACGUCUCCGACCACCUUCCGACGUCCCGAUACCUCAAUACCUGUCAGCGAGAAAGAAGAAAAACUAGCGGCGAGGGAUUAUCGCCGCCUACCUGUAGACCAGACCUACGCAACCUGCUGGCCCAAUUAGAAUAACGCAAAUUUCAGGAAGAAUCACGUGACAGCAGCACGACGAAAAUCAGGAUCACCGCUCGUUUCCACACUCUACGUUGAGUCUUCUCUAAAAACAGACGUGUUCUUGUUACCUUUAACAAAGUUUAUCGUACCGUUAUCGCAUCUUCCGUACCUGUCAUAUCUCUUUUUCACGCGUCAUAUUUAAAAUUCGUUGGUCAGCUAACACUCCCAGAAGCCUUGGCAACUUUUCAGUGAGAAUCGAUGUUGGAGCAAUUAUUGAAAAGAUUCACUUGGUGGGGACGUGGUGAUCAAGUCUUGCCAUUCUACAAAACCCAGAUGUAUCGAAUUUACUUUGAGGCCACAUGUAAGUCCAGCAACGUUCCUCGACCAAAUCGCGAACUAUUCAAAAGAGAUGUAUCAGAAGUUAUAAGGGUGGCGGAAAAACAACAUUUGAUCAACCAAAAAAAAAAAUCUGACUAUCUUAACUCGGACAAAACACCUAGUGGUAUCGUUGCAAAUCAAAAUCGCCAGUUUCGGGAUAUGUAUCCCGGCACAUCAAAUGAAGAUAAUGAUAAGGACACUGAUGAGUCACAAUCUGACGAGUAAGACGAAAAUUACUCAUUGUCAGAGGCGGAAGGUGAGGACGACUAUGAUGGGGCAAGGGACGAAUUUCUUUAGAUACCCAUAUGGAAGUAAAGCGAAACAGAAAAGCCGAAGGAGUUAAACAUUACUUUGUAAGAGAGAAAUUGUAAUGUGGACGUGAUCCAGUUUCGAAGGGUCAUGGAGUCUCAUAAUAUUAUUUCAUAAAGUAGAUAUUAUUAUCACGAAAGGAAAUACGUAUUGUGCCAGUAUCUUUCAAGAUUUUGAUUACCCGUACUAUUAUUCACUAUAUGUUCCUAGUAUCAUACCUGAAAUAUGUUUUAUAUAAUUUUUAUAUUAUUGAGAACUGUUUCCGGUUGCAUAAUUUUAUAUUUUUCAACUUGAGUAUCUCAGACGUGUUUCAACGUACAGGCCCAAGUGCAAUAUAUAAAGGUUGUAAUUACAUAUAAUUGAAAGCAACACGUCUAAUAUCUAGUCUUUGAAUACGUUUACUACUAUUACCGUAUUGUUCCGAGUAUGUCUCGAGCCCUAGAUUUCAGAUUAUAUUUCAGGACUUUUUUUUCUAUUGAUCUUGAAUGAUAAAUCAACUCCCAAUAUUCGCUGUGAGCCUCGCUCGUGCCGCCACCUAGCGGUUUCAAAAGCUAAACAGCCAGUGUGUUUAUUUACAUUAGAGUAAUACUGAUAAAUAUUGAAAUAAAUAAAAUAUUAUUAAAUAAGUGAUAUUUUCAUUGUGAUAGUAAACUGAAAAGUUGAAAAUAAUAACAAGUUGAAACGCCAGUAGAAAAUAUGUAAGUAUAUAGUUAUGAAGUAAUUAAAACUGAGUUUUCAGUGAUAAUUUGUGGGUUGAUAAGUUCAAAACAAGUAUAUUUUGACACAUGGAUGG
rnacentral:lncRNA from 1 species